AUUGAACGCUGGCGGCAUGCUUUACACAUGCAAGUCGAACGGUAACAGGCCGCAAGGUGCUGACGAGUGGCGAACGGGUGAGUAAUGCAUCGGAACGUGCCCAGUCGUGGGGGAUAACGCAGCGAAAGCUGUGCUAAUACCGCAUACGAUCUAUGGAUGAAAGCGGGGGACCGUAAGGCCUCGCGCGAUUGGAGCGGCCGAUGUCAGAUUAGCUAGUUGGUGGGGUAAAGGCCCACCAAGGCGACGAUCUGUAGCUGGUCUGAGAGGACGACCAGCCACACUGGGACUGAGACACGGCCCAGACUCCUACGGGAGGCAGCAGUGGGGAGUUUUGGACAAUGGGCGCAAGCCUGAUCCAGCAAUGCCGCGUGCAGGAAGAAGGCCUUCGGGUUGUAAACUGCUUUUGUACGGAACGAAACGGUCUGGAUAAUACCUGGGACUAAUGACGGUACCUGAAGAAUAAGCACCGGCUAACUACGUGCCAGCCGCCGCCGUAA
rnacentral:rRNA from 1 species